ACUCCUACGGGAGGCAGCAGUGGGGCUCCUACGGGAGGCAGCAGUGGGCCCCACUCCUACGGGAGGCAGCAGUGGGACUCCUACGAGAGGCAGCAGUGGGACUCCUACGAGAGGCAGCAGUGGGACUCCUACGGGAGGCAGCAGUGGGACUCCUACGGGAGGCAGCAGUGGGACUCCUACGGGAGGCAGCAGUGGGACCCACUCCUACGGGAGGCAGCAGUGGGACUCCUACGGGAGGCAGCAAUGGAACUCCUACGGGAGGCAUCUGUGGGACUCCUACGGGAGGCAG
rnacentral:misc_RNA from 1 species